UGGGGAAUAUUGGACAAUGGGCGGAAGCCUGAUCCAGCAACGCCGCGUGAGGGAUGACGGCCUUCGGGUUGUAAACCUCUUUCAGUACCGACGAAGCGAAAGUGACGGUAGGUACAGAAGAAGGACCGGCCAACUACGUGCCAGCAGCCGCGGUAAUACGUAGGGUCCGAGCGUUGUCCGGAAUUAUUGGGCGUAAAGGGCUCGUAGGCGGUUUGUCGCGUCGGGAGUGAAAACAGCGGGCUUAACUCGUUGCUUGCUUUCGAUACGGGCAGACUAGAGGUAUGCAGGGGAGAAUGGAAUUCCUGGUGUAGCGGUGAAAUGCGCAGAUAUCAGGAGGAACACCGGUGGCGAAGGCGGUUCUCUGGGCAUUACCUGACGCUGAGGAGCGAAAGUGUGGGGAGCG
rnacentral:rRNA from 1 species